UACAGAGGUCCCAAGCGUUGUUCGGAUUCAUUGGGCGUAAAGGGUGCGCAGGCGGCCGUGUGUGUGAGGCGUGAAAGCCCGAUGCUUAACAUCGGAAUUGCACCUCAAACUACACGGCUAGAGCAUUGGAGAGGGUAGCGGAAUUCACGGUGUAGCAGUGAAAUGCGUAGAUAUCGUGAGGAACACCAGAGGCGAAGGCGGCUACCUGGACAAUUGCUGACGCUCAGGCACGAAAGCGUGGGGAGCAAAAGGG
rnacentral:rRNA from 1 species